AGAGUUUGAUCAUGGCUCAGAAUCAACGCUGGCGGCGUGCCUAACACAUGCAAGUCGAACGAGAAAGUGGAGCAAUCCAUGAGUAAAGUGGCGUACGGGUGAGUAACACGUGACUAACCUACCCUUGAGUGGGGGAUAACUUCGGGAAACCGGAGGCUAAUACCGCAUAAUACCUUCGGGUCAAAGGAGUAAUUCGCUUAAGGAGGAGGUCGCGGCUGAUUAGCUAGUUGGUAGGGUAAUGGCCUACCAAGGCAAUGAUCAGUAUCCGGCCUGAGAGGGCGCACGGACACACUGGAACUGAAACACGGUCCAGACUCCUACGGGAGGCAGCAGUGGGGAAUUUUGCACAAUGGGGGAAACCCUGAUGCAGCAACGCCGCGUGGAGGAUGAAGUCCCUUGGGAUGUAAACUCCUUUCGACCGGGACGAUAAUGACGGUACCGGUGGAAGAAGCCCCGGCUAACUCUGUGCCAGCAGCCGCGGUAAUACAGAGGGGGCAAGCGUUGUUCGGAAUUAUUGGGCGUAAAGGGUGCGUAGGCGGUGCGGUAAGUCUUCUGUGAAAUCUCCGGGCUCAACUCGGAGUCUGCAGGAGAAACUGCCGUGCUUGAGUAUGGGAGAGGUGAGUGGAAUUCCUG
rnacentral:rRNA from 1 species